AGAGUUUGAUUCUGGCUCAGGACGAACGCUGGCGGCGUGCUUAACACAUGCAAGUCGAACGAUGAAGCCUAGCUUGCUAGGUGGAUUAGUGGCGAACGGGUGAGUAAUACGUGAGUAACCUACCUUUAACUCUGGGAUAAGCCCGGGAAACUGGGUCUAAUACCGGAUACGACCAAUCUCCGCAUGGGGUGUUGGUGGAAAGCGUUAUGUAGUGGUUAUAGAUGGGCUCACGGCCUAUCAGCUUGUUGGUGAGGUAACGGCUCACCAAGGCGACGACGGGUAGCCGGCCUGAGAGGGUGACCGGCCACACUGGGACUGAGACACGGCCCAGACUCCUACGGGAGGCAGCAGUGGGGAAUAUUGCACAAUGGGCGCAAGCCUGAUGCAGCGACGCCGCGUGAGGGAUGACGGCCUUCGGGUUGUAAACCUCUGUUAGCAGGGAAGAAGAGAGAUUGACGGUACCUGCAGAGAAAGCGCCGGCUAACUACGUGCCAGCAGCCGCGGUAAUACGUAGGGCGCGAGCGUUGUCCGGAAUUAUUGGGCGUAAAGAGCUUGUAGGCGGUUUGUCGCGUCUGCUGUGAAAGGCCGGAGCUUAACUCCGUGUAUUGCAGUGGGUACGGGCAGACUAGAGUGCAGUAGGGGAGACUGGAAUUCCUGGUGUAGCGGUGGAAUGCGCAGAUAUCAGGAGGAACACCGAUGGCGAAGGCAGGUCUCUGGGCUGUAACUGACGCUGAGAAGCGAAAGCAUGGGGAGCGAACAGGAUUAGAUACCCUGGUAGUCCAUGCCGUAAACGUUGGGCACUAGGUGUGGGGGACAUUCCACGUUUUCCGCGCCGUAGCUAACGCAUUAAGUGCCCCGCCUGGGGAGUACGGCCGCAAGGCUAAAACUCAAAGAAAUUGACGGGGGCCCGCACAAGCGGCGGAGCAUGCGGAUUAAUUCGAUGCAACGCGAAGAACCUUACCAAGGCU
rnacentral:rRNA from 1 species